rnacentral:rRNA from 1 species
UCCUGUACUACCGAUAACCGUUUGAGAGAAGGGAUGACACAGUAGGAUAAGCUAAGCACACUGUUGGUUAUGUGUGCCCAAGCAUUGAGGCAGUCAAAGUAGGCAAAUCCGCUUUGAUAAUGCUGGGAUGGGAUGGGGAGCGAAAUUUAGUAGCGAAGUAGCUGAUUUCACACUGUCAAGAAAAGUCUCUAUCGAGGUUAAAGGUACCCGUACCGCAAACCGACACAGGUGGGUGAGGAGAGUAUCCUAAGGCCAGCG